GCAAGUCGAGCGCGAAAGGUUUUCGGACUGAGUAGAGCGGCGGACGGGUGAGUAACGCGUAGGAAUCUACCUGGUAGUGGGGGACAACUUGGGGAAACUCAAGCUAAUACCGCAUACGCCCUACGGGGGAAAGCGGGGGAUCUUCGGGCCUCGUGCUAUUAGAUGAGCCUGCGUUGGAUUAGCUAGUUGGUGGGGUAAAGGCCUACCAAGGCGAUGAUCCAUAGCUGGUCUGAGAGGAUGAUC
rnacentral:rRNA from 1 species